ensembl:lncRNA
AUUCCAUCUCUGCUGGUGUCUUUGUUCCUACUCUGGCUUGCUUGUGACCUGCUCUAGAGUGGAGAUUCUGUAUUUAUGCUGGGUUUCUGGGGCAUUGCUGUGUCUCCAUAGAUGCAGCCCAGCCUUCCAGUUCCUCCAUACCUCCUCUGAGAGAUUUGGAGUCUCCACGACAGUGCACACCAUCCCUCAGCCUGAGCUUGCUUCCACUGUGUAGAGAAUGACUGGGUCUCUCCGAGGAGUUGUGUCACUAUGGCCCGUGCCCCAUUCUUGUGCAUUUGGGGAGGAUUUACCUUUUCCUCAUCAGCGUAUGUAAGUCUGUUGCAUCCUAACUGCAUCCUUGCACCCUUUACAUAGUCCAUCAACAUUUUUAUGGACUUAUUUGCUUUUAAUUCUGGAGGUGGUUAAAUGUAAAUGACCUUUAAAGUUGUGACCCUGUUUUGCAGUUUGUGGUUUGGCAUGAAACCUAUCCCACUUUGGGCUCCUCUGUAGUCCAACCUUGAGCUGGAUGGAGCCUCAGUUACUCUGGAGGCUGGCUUGGUGUUGAUGCUGUCUGCCCAGAAGUGAGUCCCCUAUGGCAGGGUCCUCAGAGUUCUGUGUACCAGACCUCAGCCAAUGCAUGUGUCUUCCUUUCUGUCACUGCAGUCACAGCUGUCAUGCUCCUGAGUUGCCCUGAGUUGUGAACAGUUACAGGUUACAAAGAUGCUCCUUGUGUGCCUCUGUGUCCCGUGCACUGAACAGGCUGCUUUUCUAGCAUCAUGGAUGAAGCCAGCACGUGAGGUCCACACGCUUACCCAGGCGGCCAUCUCCUCGGUGUUGCUGUGAGGGUGAUUGAUUACCUGAUGAUGCUGAUGAAUGUUGUGGUGAAGAUUGCUGUUUCAGUUAUGAGUCCUCUUUCUUCUUGAGGCUAUUUUUUCCCCCGUUACUGGGGAUCAAACUCAGAACCUUGUGCUUACAAGGCAGGCACAGCACCACUGAGCUAAAUUCCCGGGCUCUUCUUGGCUAUUUUAAGUUUUAUUGCUAGAAAGAACCCCAGGUUGCCACCAUCUGUGUCACAAUUUAUGCUUGAUAAUUACAUUCUGUGUCUGUUGUGUCCUCCCCAAUAUAGGAGGUGAAGAGUGCCCGGAGACCACUGGAACAUGGGUGGCCUGUGGAGCAGACAGCUGGGUGGACACAGAGCCACAGGACAACCGGGCAUCACUGCAAAGACUCUGCCAUGUGUGGUGGAGAGAUGUGUUGAUGGCAGAGCCCCAGAGAGCCUUGGCCUGAGGUGGCACUAUCCCUCAGAUGGGAGUAAAGGGGGACACCACUUCCAGCUUGGUGAUGAAGGGCUUGGGUGUGCUCUUGGAGCAGGGAGGGGCAACUUCAGUGGCCCACAGCAGCCAGGCCCACCUCUCAACAUCUCUUUGAGCUGUGAGCUCAUCAGGAGGUGAACCAAUGUGUAGGUAGCACCUCUCCAUCCAAUCACCUCUCCAGGAAUCUCUUAAUUCAGUCCAGUUGGUGAUCAGGAUUCCUGUCACACACUGCAGGUUGUCGUCCCCAUGACAGUGCACCCAAGGCACACCAAGGAGAGAGCCUGGUCACAUCCCCAGGGACUUACAGGGAAGUGGUGGAUGGCAUGGAAAGGCAUUCUUGCAGCACAGAAUCGGAUCAGUUUUCAAAAGUCUUACACAGACAGUGGAAGGCAAAUAUGCUCUUUCUAAGGUAAAGGUUCUGCACCUCAUGUCACUCACUGCUGUGUACUGCUUGAAUCAUCAGCAUUGUUUUUAGUAUUUGCUGAGUUGAUCCAGCACAGACAGGGUUGCAGGGUGGAGGCACCACGCAGUCCUUGAGUAUCUGGAAAUUUCUGAGUUUCUGCCUAUAUCUUUCUAGGUGACACCAUGGAGAGCACAGAUCUUUUUUUUAAUUAGCUUCUUUUUGAUUAGUAUAUGUUUGCAACACAUAAUAAUUACAUUCAUCUUUGGAAACUGGUGUUUAUACAAAUUGCCUCUUGUUUACUUUUAUUCCCCUUUACCCCCUGCCUUCUCCUCUUCUUUCUCCAGAUCUUCUUCUCAUCUCCACAGGGUCUAACUUGCCAUUUCCACCAUAUCUCAUUCAUUUUGCUCUUUAAAUUAUUCAUAUUUUUGUUCUCUCUCAGACACAAUACAGCUCCGACCACCACCAGGACUGUGCUGCAGGCUGUACAUUCCCACUGCAGGAUGGCAAUGUGUGUCUCACUUAAAGCUUCCUCCCCUGCACCCUUGCUUCUGUGAUAUAUGAUGAUUGCUCUCACCAUGUGGAAGACCAUUCACAGUGCAGAAAACUCAGAACAAGAAGCAAAGCACUGCUAUCUUUUCUUCUUUCUCUCCCUACCCACUCCUGCUCAGCAGACCGGCAGUGGCAGGGUGCAUAGCACUAGGAAGUUGUAUGCUGCAUUCACACACACACACACACACACACACACACACACACACGACAGUUAUGUGCAAUGCUGGGAGUUUUUAUGUGUCUGUGAUAUAUGCACACAGAUCCACAUCUGUACUGUGGGGAGACACUGGCCAAAGGAGUAGGUGAACCUGAGUGAGCUAAAGAAGGGACCUCGGGGAACAACAGUUCCCAUGCUCCUGGAAUGCAUGUUUAGAAAUUAGAGCAGAAUCUGUAGGACAACAGUCAGUAUAAUUAAGAGCAAGUUACUGUCAAAGAUGUUUACUUUGGCCAAUGUAUUUUUUCUGCCCCAAUAAGAUUGCUGAAACUAGGUCGACAUGUGUCAUGUAACAAACCCAUCCCAUUCCAGCCCCAUCCCCAAAUUUCCUAUGCAGUACAUUGCAAAAUGCUUUUCUUCUAUGUCUUUCUUCUCAUGUCCUUGAGUUACAAAUAAUCGCAGAGGUCUCAGCUGGUUGCUGUUUCCCUGAGGCACUCUUAUGCCCAAGAAGUAUCUGUUCUGAGUUCUUAGUGAUUGAAUUAAAUCUCACCUCUGAGUAAUCGUCUUCAUCCUCUAUGCAGCCGUGGUUGCACACUGUGAUCCCUGCAUCACCCCUGAACUUCUGUGACCUGCUUUGCCAGGGCAAGUACUUUCCUUAGGGUCCAUCUGCCAUGCUGUCUGUGUGCAGAUUCAACAACCCCCCUGCCCCGUUCAACCCAUGUACACAUGCGCACAGUGGACUUGACCAUGUCCACUGUUUUAUUUUCAGGCUGUAUUUGUUUAUGUAUUUUGCAUGUGGCAGUGAGACUUGGUCCAUAAAACAUUGACUUGGAGCCAGGCACCGUGAUGCAUGCCUGCGAUCAGCACUGUAGGAAACUCAGGCAGGAAGAUCUCAAGUUUGAGCCCAGUCUUAGCAACUUAGUGACUUAGUGAGACACUAUCUCAAAAAUAAAACAUAAAAAGGGUUAGGGAUUUAGCUCAAUACAAAGGCCCUGGGUUCAAUCCUCAGACCACACACACAUGCACACACACACAGACACACACAAAACUUGGUUUACCUUGACCUUGUGGGUUAGCUUACGGGUUGCAUUCCUCACACUGGAAGCUGUUUUCAGGGAGGAAAGUGGAGAACUCUGUACUUUGCAGGUUUUCUUUCUGUCUUUGCAUGCAUUCACAAUUCACUUUAUAAAGAACGACACACAUUUAUGUGAGGUGGUAGCCAGUGAUCAUGGCCUCGAUUUUUUAUUUCUCUGUCUGUGAAGGAGUAGUACCACCAUGAAGCAGUUACUUUGGGAGGCUCUGUGCCUGCCCAAUGUCACAUAGCCAAAGGGCAGCUGAGACCUUGGCACCAGAGGCCAUCCUACCAACCGUCGGGGUGUAACUUUCAUGGCAUGAGCCUCCUUGGUCUUGGGUUUUUGGUUUCCCUAGAAUGAGUUUUGCUUUUCAAUCCACAAUGCUGUGAAUUAAGUUGUUUUGCACAAAUAAAAUAAAAACAAGGUCUCACUAUUGAAUUCCAAGUACAAAACCAAGAGAUUGGGAAUUUCUUUCUCCAUCCCCUCUGUACUCCCUCCUAUACCUGCUGGCCAAGGGGGUGUAGUUGUGCCAAGCGACUGGCCCCAUCAGCACCAAGACCACUUGUGAAUCUCCGGUGUCACCAUUAUCAACAAUUCAUACUGGCUUGCUGACCAAACCCACACAGGAAGCUCUAGAGACCCAGGUGCCCAGAAGCCCUGUUCUCUGAUACAACCAUUCCCUC